CAUUAAAGAAAAAUUAAUUUACAUUUAUCAGUCCAAAAUUUACAUCAGAAAAUUCAAAAUAAUAUUAUUACAAAAUCUAUACAACUGUUCAAGACUAGUUUAUACAUGUACAUACAUUUACAUACACCAAAAUAAACAUUACAAUCAAGGUAUAAAAUUAUACCCGACAAAAUCUCAAGGAUGUAGCGCCGAGAUCCUUAGCAGCUCACUCUGUUACUCCACUAGUCUCUCUAUCUUAUGCGAG
rnacentral:misc_RNA from 1 species